rnacentral:rRNA from 1 species
GACGAACGCAGGCGGCGUGCCUAAUACAUGCAAGUAGAACGCUGAAGGAGGAGCUUGCUUCUCUGGAUGAGUUGCGAACGGGUGAGUAACGCGUAGGUAACCUGCCUGGUAGCGGGGGAUAACUAUUGGAAACGAUAGCUAAUACCGCAUAAGAGUAGAUGUUGCAUGACAUUUGCUUAAAAGGUGCAAUUGCAUCACUACCAGAUGGACCUGCGUUGUAUUAGCUAGUUGGUGGGGUAACGGCUUACCAAGGCGACGAUACAUAGCCGACCUGAGAGGGUGAUCGGCCACACUGGGACUGAGACACGGCCCAGACUCCUACGGGAGGCAGCAGUAGGGAAUCUUCGGCAAUGGACGGAAGUCUGACCGAGCAACGCCGCGUGAGUGAAGAAGGUUUUCGGAUCGUAAAGCUCUGUUGUAAGAGAAGAACGAGUGUGAGAGUGGAAAGUUCACACUGUGACGGUAUCUUACCAGAAAGGGACGGCUAACUACGUG